AUGGGCUCUAAAAAGAUCCAUCACGCCGGGCAGCUUUCCCCGAGGCAGAAAACAAUAGACGUGAACUUCGCGCUGAACAAGCCGCGGGAUCGGCGCCCGCGCGUCCGUCUUUCCUGUCUGCGGAGGGCCUGUGCCUCCAGUUCCAACCCCCAGAACCUUCGUGAAAAGGUUCAUCUGACCUCCACACUCGGCCCGCAAGGAGGUCCCCCCCCCACCGCACCCCCCGCUUUCCUUGCGGAGUUGACCCGAGGGGAUGCGGGGAGGUGUGGAUGGGAUGAAAGGGGAGGCGCUGGCCUGGACCCCCUCUCCCCAGCCCGCAAAGGGAGCGCAAAAUCUGGGGUGAGGCCCCCAGCCAACGGCCCGCGGGAGCCCGCCCCGUGUCUGGCCCGGCGGCGGCGAGGGCGAGGGCGAGGGCGCGCGGGGCGCACGGGGGCAGGCGGGGCGCGCCCCGCUGGAGGCUGCAGGCUCCGGGCCUGGGCAGCGGCUGGAGCGGGGAGGCUGGGACAGGUGUGAGCGGGCUCGGCGAGAAGGCGUGCGGCCCCGGGGAGCCGGCGAGCCCGACCGGGGCACCCUCCGGCCCGACGCGCUUCCUCCAGAGCCUGCGGCCCCCCCAGGCAAGCAGGGACUUACCCCGCCAGGGCCGAGGGUUCGAGUAAAGUUGCCGAGAGGGGGGAGAGGGGGUUCCUAGCACUGGGGGGCGGGGGGUCACUGUUGCCCUGGGAAAGGAAGCCUGCACUCUAGGAACUCCUUUGUGCCUCUGUACGCACCCUGUCGCACUUCCCUCCCAAACUCGGGAUAACCUAGAUUCCCGUCUUGGCGUCAGAGGCAACCCCCAAAUGCUGGCGGUUUUCUGCUUUCCUUCG
rnacentral:lncRNA from 12 species